rnacentral:rRNA from 1 species
AUUGAACGCUGGCGGCAGGCCUAACACAUGCAAGUCGAGCGGAUGAAGGGAGCUUGCUCCUGGAUUCAGCGGCGGACGGGUGAGUAAUGCCUAGGAAUCUGCCUGGUAGUGGGGGAUAACGUCCGGAAACGGGCGCUAAUACCGCAUACGUCCUGAGGGAGAAAUUGGGGGAUCUUCGGACCUCACGCUAUCAGAUGAGCCUAGGUCGGAUUAGCUAGUUGGUGGGGUAAAGGCCUACCAAGGCGACGAUCCGUAACCGGUCUGAGAGGAUGAUCAGUCACACUGGAACUGAGACACGGUCCAGACUCCUACGGGAGGCAGCAGUGGGGAAUAUUGGACAAUGGGCGAAAGCCUGAUCCAGCCAUGCCGCGUGUGUGAAGAAGGUCUUCGGAUUGUAAAGCACUUUAAGUUGGGAGGAAGGGCAGUAAGUUAAUACCUUGCUGUUUUGACGUUACCAACAGAAUAAGCACCGGCUAACUUCGUG